GGGGUUUUUCCGGGGAAUUACUGGGCGUAAAGAGUUGCGUAGGUGGCAGAGUAAGUUGGUAGUGAAAGCGUGCGGCUCAACCGCAUAUCCAUUACCAAAACUGCUCAGCUAGAGGACGAGAGAGGUACCUGGAAUUCCUAGUGUAGGAGUGAAAUCCGUAGAUAUUAGGAGGAACACCGAUGGCGUAGGCAGGGUACUGGCUCGUUCCUGACACUAAGGCACGAAAGCGUGGGUAGCAAACGGGAUUAGAUACCCCGGUAGUCCACGCCGUAAACGAUGGAUGCUAGCUGUAUUCGGUAUCGACCCCGGAUGUAGCGAAGCUAACGCGUUAAGCAUCCCGCCUGUGGAGUACGGUCGCAAGACUAAAACAUAAAGGAAUUGACGGGGACCCGCACAAGCGGUGGAGCGUGUUGUUUAAUUCGAUGGUAAGCGAAGAACCUUACCCAGGUUUGACAUCCUUGGAAUCUUUCCGAAAGGAAAGAGUGCUUUUAGAGCCAAGUGACAGGUGUUGCAUGGCCGUCGUCAGCUCGUGUCGUGAGAUGUUUGGUUAAGUCCAUUAACGAGCGCAACCCUUGUGAUUAGUUGAAUUUUUCUAAUCAGACUGCCCUGGCAACAGGGAGGAAGGAGGGGAUGAUGUCAGGUCAGUAUUACCCUUACAUCUGGGGCUACAAACACGCUACAAUGGCCGGUACAAAGGGCAGCCAAGUCGCGAGACGGAGCAAAUCCCAUCAAAGCCGGUCCCAGUUCGGAUAGCAGGCUGAAACUCGCCUGCUUGAAGUCGGAAUCGCUAGUAACGGUAGGUCAGCUAUACUACCGUGAAUACGUUCCCGGGUCUUGUACACACCGCCCGUCAAACCAUGAAAGUCGCCAAUACCUGACGUGCCAGCUUGCCUGGCCCCAAGGUAGGGGAGAUGAUUGGGGUUAAGUCGUAACAAGGUAAC
rnacentral:rRNA from 1 species